CAGCAUGUCAUGAUGAUGUAGUUAAGAUUGUGAAUCUAGCAUGCAAAUAUAACCUUUGUAUCAUACCAAUUGGUGGUAGAACAAGUGUUUCAUAUGGCUGAUGUGUCCUGCAGAUGAGACAAGAACAAAAUUUUCUUUGGACACUUCACAAAUGAAUCGAAUUCUCUGGGUUGAUGAGAACAAUCUGACAGCUCAUGUAGAAGCUGGCAUAACAGGACAAGACUUAGAAAGACAGCUUAAAGAAAGUGGCUAUUGUACAGGUCAUGAACCAGAUUCCUUGGAAUUCAGCACUGUGGGAGGAUGGAUAUCUACUCGGGCAUCAGCAUGAAGAAGAAUAUCUACGGCAUAUUGAGGACCUGGUGGUUCAUAUUAAAAUGGUCACACCUAGAGGUGUAAUAGAAAAAAGCUCUCAAGGACCUCGUAUGUCAACAGGGCCUGAUAUUCAUCAUUCAUCAUGGGAUCUGAAGGUAAUCUUGGUUUAA